rnacentral:lncRNA from 1 species
ACUUAUCUAGCCAAUUUGAUGAAUUAUAUUUUGAUUAGAUUGCAAAAUGAUUCGAGUUGAUUCAUACCAUUAAGGUUGAUUAGUAUGACUGAUUUAGGUACCAUUUCAACCAACAUGAUCUUAAUCCAAUUCAAUGACUUGAUAAAGUCAGUGGGAGAAUUAUGGUUUACUGGUUGAUCCCUUCUUUUCUCUUCUCUUAAUUUAUG